UAUUUUCUCUCAGUGUAUUUGUUUAUUUCUUUACCAUUCGUCAUUUAACCCCCAAACACUUCCCAAAAAUCUAAUUGGAAACAAAAACAAACAACUGUUAUCGUAAACAGCUGUUCAACUACUUUUACUAAACAACUAUGUAAGUGUUUUUUGUUGCUCGUUCGCUCUCUCUCUUUCUCUCCCUUUAACAACGCCAUAUUGCCUUUGCAAGAAGACAAAAAACGACGAUUAUUAUCAAUUGUGCUUUUCAAGAGGUUAUAUUAGCUGCGCUACAUUAUAAAGCAAUUCAUUGUGAAAUAAUUGCGAAACGUUUUUCGAAUAAAAAAGUUUAUACAAAUAUUUCAAAAUUUUCUGUGCAUUUUAUAUACAAACAAAAUUAAAACGUUAACAGUGUUUUAUUUGUGCAAACAAAUUAAAAUAAAACAAGUUAAUUAAUUUGUUUCUUCUUCUUUUUCUGCUACACACAAAAAAAUUCACAUAAUUUUUUUUUGUGCUGAGUGCAAAGGCAGUGAUAAAUAAAAGAAAAAAAUUCCAUUUCUUUUUUUUAUAAAAAUAAGAACAACAACAAAAACAAAAAGAAACUCUUCCUCAUUUAGUUUUUUGUUUUACAACUUUUUGUUUUAUUAAAUUCUCUUUUUGUUUAAAAACAAAAAACUUAAAAAAAACUUUUAAUUAAAAAAAAAAAACAUUAAAACUUUUCAAAAAGAAAAUUUGCGUAAUAUAACGUUAAAUUCAUAUACAAUUCAUAUUAAGUUUUGUUUUUGAGUUUUUUUCUUUCGCUUAUUUCAUUUAUUAUCUUAAGUGGAUUCUUUGUGAAUUAACAAACAAAUCAACACCACCACCCCCAGCCCGUGCAAAGGAAUAUAUUUUUUAUAUGACUUUUGAAAGAAUAAUAG